UGUCCAGGGAUGGGAAUCGAACCCACAGUGUUCCGCUUACCGGGCAGAUGCCAUGUCCACUAGGCUACCCUGCC